rnacentral:lncRNA from 1 species
CUCUAUUCUUUUUUUAUUUUUUGCCCCAGGUCCAGCAAGACUAUGAAUCUCUGUUCCAAAUGCUUUGCUGAAAAAAGAAAUCCACACAAUGAAAAAGACAUCAUAGGCUGUUGGCUGAAUCUGGCACUGAAGAUUUAGGAAAUGACGAGACAGGUUAUAGUGCUGUAAUAAUUAAUCCAAUCUGUGUGUAUUCAUUGUAACUGUCUUUCAAUGAUGAUAGAAGGAUCAGAGUACAGGAAAGCACAAGAUUACUGGUGUAAUCUCCUGGUUUAAAUCACAAGUCAUUAAAUAUCAUCUAGAUAAGCUCUGUUUGCUGAAAAUUUCUAUUUUAAACAGCUACUCUAUUUUGAUGUGAGGAUGCUGGGGGUUCUGAAUCCACCAUGGUUGGUUGUAUUUCUAAUGAAUAGGCCGCCUCACUAUUAAGUAGUACUGAAGAAUGCCUUCUUAAUUGCAAUAUUAUAGGAACAACAUUUGCACAUUGAACUGAAUAGAGAACUAUUAUUUUCUUUAGAGAAAUCCUUUAAAGAACUCAUUAGCCCCCUAGUGCUUCAAGAAAACAAGUAAUUUGCCAUCUUGACAUUUGUGUAAGUCAGAGGUGAUGAUAUUCUUUUUCACCAUACAUAGAUCAGAAGUUAAAGCACAAAUGUCAAACAUACACAGAUACUGGAUAUCA